rnacentral:rRNA from 1 species
AUGAGGCAUGGGGCUCUCCGAUCCCUGGCAGAGGAGCGAGAGCAGCUCUCCGAGGCGCGGAAAGCCUUCCUUCUCGAGAAGGCCGAAGUCGAAGAGCAACAGCGUCUUGCCGGUGAGAAGCUGUUUGCGCAGGAAGGCGAGCUGGCGCAGCGGAAAGUCAAUCUUGACAGCCACGAGGAGGAACUUGCCACGCACGGGCAAUCGAUCGGCGGGGCUCUCCAGGAAGCAAAGGACGCAGCCGCAGCUACCGAGGCCGCCAAGAAGGAGCUGGAGGUGAAGGUGGUGCAGCUGGAGGCCGACCUCAAAGCGGGCGGCGAGGAGCUGGCCGCGCUCAAGCUUGAGCGCGAGAAGGAUGCCGCCGCUCAUGGUGAGCUGCAGGGUCUCCUUGCCGAGAGGAACAAAGAGCUUAGCACCGCCAAGGAUUCCAACACUGAUCUCGAGCUGAAGCUGGCCACCUUAACCCAGACACUGGACGGGGCCAGGGAGCGGGAGGCGGCCUUGGCGGAGAAGGUCAAAGCCAACGAGGCGUUGCUGGCAAGUGCUGCCGCCACCCAGAACACCUUCAGGGAGAACAUGGAGCACUGGACGGAGGGCCUCGUGGAUGUUGCCGCCACCAUCGACGGGGAGCUGGCGCAGCUGGGAAUGGAGGAUCUUGGGUACUCCUCCGACGAGCGUCUCAAACCCAGCGCCAAGCUCAGCCUGUUCUUCAAGGGCGUGGCGACGGUGCUCCAGCGACUCCGGGAGAGGAUCCCAAAGCAGCUGGCCGACGAGUCGCGCAAGAUCUGCGCGGGAGCUCUUCAGAAGAUGCUGGUGAAGGUGGCCUUCCGCAACCCAGGCCUCAACCUCACCAACGUCCUCCGGUCCUUGCCAGCGGAUGCCGAUCUGGAGGCACUCAAGGCCCUUGUCGCACCCAUUGUGGACAAGGUGAGCGGGAUCAAGAGGGUCGAGGGCGACCGCGUAGACUAG